UACUGGGCGUAAAGAGAAGCGUAGNCGGCUCGAUAAGUUUGCUGUUAAUCUUCCGGCUCAACCGGAAACAAGCACCGAAAACUAUCGAGAUUGAGUCGAGUAGGGAAGAGGGGAAUUCCUGGUGGACCGGUUAAAUGCGUAGAUAUCAGGGGGAAUACCAAGGGCGAAGGCACCUCUUUGGACUCGUACUGACGCUGAGGCUCGAAAGCGUGGGUAGCAAAACGGAUUAGAUACCCGUGUAGUCCACGCCGUAAACGAUCCCUGUUAGAUGUAUGUUUUGUCUGUUUAUUUUUCCUUCGGGAAGGGUAAAGGGCAAGAUGUGUGUCGUAGUUAACGCGUUAAACAGGGCGCCUGGGAAGUACGGCCGCAAGGCUAAAACCCAAAGGAAUUGACGGGGACCCGCACAAGCAGUGGAGCGCCUGGUUUAAUUCGAUGGUCAGCGAAGAACCUCACCUAGGCUUGAACUGUAGCUGCACACUCCCAGAAACGGGAGAAUCCUUCGAGGGUGCUACAGAGGUGCUGCAUGGCUGUCGUCAGCUCGUGUCGUGAGAUGUAGGGUUAAGUCCCACAACGAGCGCAACCCCUAUUCAGUGUUAUAAUUACUCUGAAGACUGCCCUGUCCACACGGGGAGGAAGGAGGGGACGACGUCCAGUCAUCAUGUCCCUUAUGUCUAGGGCUACACAGACGCUACAAUGGCCGGUACAAUGGGUUGCCAAACCGCGAGGUGGAGCCAAUCCCAUCAAAGCCGGUCCCAGUUCGGAUUGCAGUCUGCAACUCGACUGCAUGAAGUUGGAAUUGCUAGUAAUCGCGAAUCAGCACGUCGCGGUGAUACGUUCUCGGGUCUUGUACACACCGCCCGUCAGGGCACGGGAGUCGCUCUUGCUCGAAGUUCCC
rnacentral:rRNA from 1 species